AUGUCAAGGCAGACAGACAGACAUGUCAAGGCAGACAGACAUGUCAAGGCAGACAGACAUGUCAAGGCAGACAGACAGACAUGUCAAGGCAUACAGACAGACAUGUCAAGGCAGACAGACACAUGUCAAGGCAGACAGACAGACAUGUCAAGGCAGACAGACAUGUCAAGGCAGACAGACAUGUCAAGGCAGACAGGGGUUUCCAGAUGUGCUGCUCUUUUGAAGAAGCACAAAGAAAUGGGCGACGUUGAGGACCGUAGACACAGUGGUCGGACAAGGAAACUUACUGCAACAGAUGAAAGACACAUCUUACUUCCCUUCGCAAUCAGAUGUCCAGCAGUGUCAUCAGCUNNNNNNNNNNCAUGUCAAGGCAGACAGACAGACAUGUCAAGGCAGACAGACAGACAUGUCAAGGCAGACAGACAUGUCAAGGCAGACAGACAUGUCAAGGCAGACAGACAGACAUGUCAAGGCAUACAGACAGACAUGUCAAGGCAGACAGACACAUGUCAAGGCAGACAGACAGACAUGUCAAGGCAGACAGACAUGUCAAGGCAGACAGACAUGUCAAGGCAGACAGGGGUUUCCAGAUGUGCUGCUCUUUUGAAGAAGCACAAAGAAAUGGGCGACGUUGAGGACCGUAGACACAGUGGUCGGACAAGGAAACUUACUGCAACAGAUGAAAGACACAUCUUACUUCCCUUCGCAAUCAGAUGUCCAGCAGUGUCAUCAGCUCAGAACUGUCAGAAAACAGUGGGACCCUGGUACACACAUCUACUGUCUGGAGAAGUCUGGUCAGAAGUGGCCUUCAUGGAAGACUUGCGGCCAAAAAGCCAUACCUCCGACGUGGAAACAAGGCCAAGCGACUCAACUAUGCACAAAAACACAGGAACUGGGGUGCAGAAAAAUGGCAGCAGGUGCUCUGGACUGAUGAGUCAAAAUGUGAAAUAUUUGUCUGUAGCAGAAGGCAGUUUGUUCGCUGAAGGGCUGGAGAGGGGUACACGAAUGAGUGACUGGUGGAGGUUCCUUGCCAGUUUGGGGCUGCAUUUCUACAAAUGGAGUUGGGGAUUUGGUUAG
rnacentral:lncRNA from 13 species